rnacentral:lncRNA from 1 species
CUUUAAAAAAAAGAGUGGAUAAAUGAAAGAGCAUUAAUUUUGAUCUUCUGCAAUCAUAAUGACGACAUAUUAGUUGGUUAACAUUAGAUCACAUUCAGAAAGAGAUUAACAACUAUAUUUCACUGUAUGGCUUUCAACCAUGAGCAAAUGCCAUACCACAGAUUCCGCUGUAUUAAAAGGCUCUGAAAUGACAAAUUUAAAACAAUACUAAUGAGAAACGAAAGACCUAAUUUAUGUACAAAAUAAUGAAUGAAAAAACAAAUGUGUUACACAGCGACAAAUGACAACCAGGGAAUUACAGGCUCCUGACUUGGGACA